rfam:Canis lupus familiaris chromosome 17, whole genome shotgun sequence.
GCCUGGGUAGCUCAGCGGUUGAGCAUCUGCCUUCGGCUCAGGGCAUGAUUCCGGGGUCUUGGGAUCAAAUCCCACAUCGGGCU